UGGGGAAUUUUGGACAAUGGGGGAAACCCUGAUCCAGCCAUCCCGCGUGUUCGAUGAAGGCCUUCGGGUUGUAAAGCACUUUUGGCAGGAAAGAAACGUCAUGGGUUAAUACCCCGUGAAACUGACGGUACCUGCAGAAUAAGCACCGGCUAACUACGUGCCAGCAGCCGCGGUAAUACGUAGGGUGCAAGCGUUAAUCGGAAUUACUGGGCGUAAAGCGUGCGCAGGCGGUUCGGAAAGAAAGAUGUGAAAUCCCAGAGCUCAACUUUGGAACUGCAUUUUUAACUACCGGGCUAGAGUGUGUCAGAGGGAGGUGGAAUGCCGCGUGUAGCAGUGAAAUGCGUAGAUAUGCGGAGGAACACCGAUGGCGAAGGCAGCCUCCUGGGAUAACACUGACGCUCAUGCACGAAAGCGUGGGGAGCAAACAGG
rnacentral:rRNA from 1 species